UACCCUCGGGAGGAGGAUAACCCCGGGAAACUGGGGCUAAUCCCCCAUAGGCCUGAGGUACUGGAAGGUCCUCAGACCGAAAGGGGCUUUGCCCGCCCGAGGAUGGGCCGGCGGCCGAUUAGGUAGUUGGUGGGGUAACGGCCCACCAAGCCGAAGAUCGGUACGGGCCAUGAGAGUGGGAGCCCGGAGAUGGACACUGAGACACGGGUCCAGGCCCUACGGGGCGCAGCAGGCGCGAAACCUCCGCAAUGCUCGAAAGAGCGACGGGGGGACCCCCAGUGCCGUGGCAUCGCCACGGCUUUUCCGGAGUGUAAAGAGCUCCGGGAAUAAGGGCUGGGCAAGGCCGGUGGCAGCCGCCGCGGUAAUACCGGCGGCCCGAGUGGUGGCCGCUAUUAUUGGGCCUAAAGCGUCCGUAGCCGGGCCAGUAAGUCCCUGGCGAAAUCCCACGGCUCAACCGUGGGGCUUGCUGGGGAUACUGCUGGCCUUGGGACCGGGAGAGGCGGAGGGUACUCCUGGGGUAGGGGUGAAAUCCUAUAAUCCCAGGAGGACCGCCAGUGGCGAAGGCGCUCCGCUGGAAC
rnacentral:rRNA from 1 species